rnacentral:rRNA from 1 species
UACGUAGGGUGCGAGCGUUGUCCGGAAUUAUUGGGCGUAAAGGGCUCGUAGGCGGUCUGUUGCGUCGGGAGUGAAAACUCAGGGCUUAACCCUGGGCUGGCUUCCGAUACGGGCAGACUAGAGGUAUGCAGGGGAGAACGGAAUUCCUGGUGUAGCGGUGAAAUGCGCAGAUAUCAGGAGGAACACCGGUGGCGAAGGCGGUUCUCUGGGCAUUACCUGACGCUGAGGAGCGAAAGUGUGGGGAGCGAACAGG